GGUGUGCCAACACCUUCGCAUGAUCUUGCCAACACCCGUGAAGAGGAGGAGGCAGAAUCCGCUUCGGAUGAUGAAUCGGAGGAAGAGGAAGAUGAAGACGAGGACGGGGCUUGAUGUGGGCAUGAAUUUGAACUAGUGGGCAUGAACUUGGUUGGAUGAUUUUGUGGGCAUGAACUUUUUAUGUCAUCAUGAACUUGUUUGUGUGAUUUAAAUUA
rnacentral:lncRNA from 1 species